GGUCUAAUAGUGUAGAGGUUAUCACACGGGAUUUUGAUAACCAAUUCACUCUCUGCCACAUUAUCUUCUUCCCGUAACCCAGGUUCGAGUCCUGGUUAGACCU
rnacentral:tRNA from 1 species